GCUUACGUUCAUACUUUCAUCUCAUUCAUGUCCUUCAAAGUGCUUUCUAGGAUGGACGACUCAGUGAUUUUCUUUAGUGAACUCUCGGAACUAAUGCAGCUUUUAAAAAUGGAUUCAACUCACAGCGAACUUCCUGACUGGACAAACAGGUUAUCAAUUUCAAUCUCAUCUGUUUCAAUGCUUUCUAGGAUGAACAAGUCAGUGAUUUUCUUUAGUGAACUCUCGGAACUAUUGCAGCUUUUAAAAAUGGAUUCAACUCACAGCGAACUUCCUGACUGGACAAACAGGUUAUCAAUUUCAAUCUCGUCUGUUUCAAUGCUUUCUAGGAUGAACAACUCCGUGAUUUUCUUUAGUGAACUCUCGGAACUAUUGCAGCCUUUAAAAAUGGAUUCUACUCACAGCAAACUUCUUGAAUGAACAAACAGCUUAUCAAUUUCAAUCUCAUCUAUUUCAACACAUCACUAACUAUAUACAUUCUCAUUUAUCAAACCUUCUAUCUCACAUCAGUCCAUUCCCAGCUCAUAACCGCUUCUAACCCAACCUCUCGCUAACGUAAACAAACACAUAUACACAACCCCAUAGGUCACAGUUAGCACCCUUGUAUAGAGUCACGUCGGGUUCAGAGUGCAAUGGCAACACAGCCCCGGCACUCUGUAAUGUGUGGGGCGUAUGAUGAUGGGGGGGGUUAGGGAGGGGGCGUAUGGCGCUCCCCUCGGCUGGUGGUGGAGUUGUUUUUUCGAUGGCAUUUAAAAUAGUUUAGCGUUUUUUCGACUUGCUGCGUUUGUUUAGUAUUUUUUGGUGUGGUUUUCGUAGCUGAUUAGUUGUCUUGAUGUGCGUGUGUGUGUGUGUGUGUGUGUGUGUGUACCAAUUCUGGGCAUAAAUAUCUCCAAGUCAUUUUUAAUUUUCUACCUCAUGAGACGUUGCUUCCUCGUAUGUGUGUGUGUGUGUGUGUACCAGUUCUGGGCAUUAAUAUUUCAGUCAUUCUUAAUUUUCUACCUCAUAACACGUUACUUUCUCGUGUGUGUGUGUGUGUGUGUGUGUGUGUGUGUGUGUGUGUGUGUGUGUGUGUUCUGACUCUACUCUCAACACCAUAAGCGACGUAACACAACAGAAACAACGCACGAUUAUUGGACUUCAGUCGCCUAUAUUUUUCUUUCUUUCUUUCCUUAUUUCUCUGUGUCCUCCGAUGAUACAGGGUGAGGCAUAAUAUCUCGUUUCCUUACCGUAUGUUAUGUGUGUGUGUGUAAGGUUUUUGACGGUCUCUGUAUGAUGUAUUGCUGUGCUGUUUGGGAUAACACACAUAUACACACAUACGCACAUAUACACACACAUACUCACACACCUUAGUCGUAGUAGUUUUUGACCACACUGUCGUCGAAUACCCUUUGGUGCUCUCUCUCUCUCUCUCUCUCUCUCUCUCUCUUGCCCGUUUUCUAUGCAGCUCCGAUCUAUUAUAAUUUAUUUACAUUUUAUUUUUUCUGAAUUUCAACGCACUAUUUUUUGUAAGUAUUUCUCCGCGCAAUUUUUCCUUUCCUUUCCCUUUUUUUAUAUAUGCACUUUUUAUAGCGAGUUUAGUUUUUUUACAUAUAUAUAUUUUCCUUUUUUUAAACUUCCUUGAUCUUAUAAUUCUCAUGAUUUUGUGUGUUAUUUUUCUUGUUUUUUCCAUUUCCUGUCUCACUCUAUGCUUGUUUUUCUCCUUUUCUCUAUGUAUUUGUGUGUUCUAUUUUUCUAUUUUCAUUUUAAACAUGUACGAUUUUGUAUCCUUGUCGAUUCUCAAACUCCGUCGACCCUUACAAUUCAUAUCAUUUAGCAUUUUCCUUCUUUUUCCAUUUCCUGUCUCCCUCCAUGCUUGUUUUUAUCCUUUUUUUCUAUGUAUUUGUGUGUUAUAUUUUUCUAUUUUCAUUUUAAACAUGUGCGAUUUUGUAUCCUUCGCGAUUCUCAAGCUUCGGUGACCUUACAAUUCAUAUCAUUUCGUUUUUUCCUUCUUUUUCCAUUUCCUGUCUCUCUCCAUGCUUGUUUUUCUCCUUUUUCUCUAUGUAUUUGUGUGUUAUAUUUUUCUAUUUUCAUUUUGUAUAACUUCGUAUCCUUCGCGAUUCUCAAGCUUCGGCUAUCUUAUAAUUCUCAUCAAUUUGUGUGUGUAUGUAUUUUUCAUCAAUCUUCCAUCAGUGUUUGUACGACUUGCUCUCUCUUUCUCCAUUUCCUUGUUUACGUAUUAGCGUGUCGUGCGAACCCUCUCUUUGUACGCCUUCUUAGCAGCUGUGAUACUUUUGGUGGUCAUUACGUAAGAGUUUGUGCGGCAGAGAGAACCUGUCGAGUGUGUGUGUGUGUGUGUGUGUGUGUGUGUGUGUGUGUGUGUGUCAAUUACUUACCUUCAUCUCAUUAUCACACCUGCAAACCUUCGAUAGAGAUGAGUUCAGAGUCGUACCUUCACAAACACUUGCUUCGUACCCGCGACCGACCCUCUCCCUUUACGUAAUUCUACUCCGUGUAUAAUUCCGAGUGUACCUUCGACCCCACAACCCGGGCGUCAGUUCCGUUACGCAUCUCCGUUUUCUGUGUAUUCGUAUAGCCUGAGUGUGAACUGUACAUACAUACGUAAGCUAAUAUAUCCCCUUCGACUGUAAACAUUUGUCUCAAGCCUCAAAAGUUGCUGGUACAAAUGUAAAUACACAAAACUUAAAAGUAUAUUGCAUUCCUUAUCCUACGUACGUACUUACUCACGGCAGAUUCGGUGAUCAUAUCGUAUUGCCUUAAAAACAUGUGUAUCGUAGCCUGGGUAAUGUGGAGGAGAGAUGAGCCGUCUCUCGUAAAUAAGCUAGUCUCGUAAAACUCAUUCGCUUGACAAGAUCUAUAGCAAUCCACAUUUAUUUUGAACUUUAAAUGGACAAAAUCUGAUAGCCUAUUUUUGUUGUCUAGUCAUGCUAUCAACUACAUCAACUAAAUAUUUAAAUUCACUCAUGUAUUUUAUCUGUGGUUGAAUUAUGAACCAGAAAUAGACUCCUUUUCAAUCCACAGUUUUAACUCGAAAUGGACGAAAUCUGACAGCCUAUUUUUUUUAGCUUGUCGUACUAUCAACUACUGGAACUAAAUCUUUAAAUUCACUCAUGUAUUUCAUCUAUGGUUGCAUUAUGAACCAGAAAUAGACUGUCUCCUUUUCAAUCCACAUUUAUUAAACUAUCUUUGGUUGAAUUAUGAACCAGAAAUUUCUUUUUGUGGUUGUAUUAUGAACCAGAAAUAGACAGUCCUUCUCAAUCCACAUUUAUUUAAACUAUCUUUGGUUGAAUUAUGAACCAGAAAUAUCUUUUUGUGGUUGAAUUAUGACCCAGAAAUAUCCUUUUGUGGUUGAAUUAUGAACCAGAAAUAUCCUUUUGUGGUUGAAUUAUGAACCAGAAAUAUCCUUUUGUGGUUGAAUUAUGAACCAGAAAUAUCCUUUUGUGGUUGAAUUAUGAACCAGAAAUAUCCUUUUGUGGUUGAAUUAUGACCCAGAAAUAUCCUUUUGUGGUUGAAUUAUGAACCAGAAAUAUUCUUUUGUGGUUGAAUUAUGAACCAGGAAUAUCCUUUUGUGGUUGAAUUAUGAACCAGAAAUAUCCUUUUGUGGUUGAAUUAUGAACCAGAAAUAGACAGUCUCCUUUUCAAUCCACAUUUAUUAAACUCAAGAUUAUGAAGCAAACCCGACAGGCUAUUUUAACAUAACUGGCUGUCUUCGGCUAAAACACGAUAUAGUUCUGUUCGUACAUGUUUACUUUCGCCAUUCGUAACUGUCUCCGGUGUAUAGCAAAGCGCAGUGCAGUGUUUUUCUGAGUGUAUAUUUCCCUCGGCCACAUCUGUCUCCUCCUGUUGGAUUUGUUGAGAUUAAAAUAUUAUGGUUUCUC